AGAGCGAACGCUGGCGGCAGGCCUAACACAUGCAAGUCGAGCGCCCCGCAAGGGGAGCGGCAGACGGGAGAGUAACACGUGGGAACGUACCCUUCAGUACGGAACAACCAAGGGAAACUUUGGCUAAUACCGUAUACGUCCGUAAGGAGAAAGAUUUAUCGCUGAAGGAUCGGCCCGCGUCUGAUUAGCUUGUUGGUGAGGUAACGGCUCACCAAGGCUACGAUCAGUAGCUGGUCUGAGAGGAUGAUCAGCCUCACUGGGACUGAGACACGGCCCAGACUCCUACGGGAGGCAGCAGUGGGAAUAUUGGACAAUGGGCGCAAGCCUGAUCCAGCCAUGCCGCGUGGGUGAUGAAGGCCCUAGGGUUGUAAAGCCCUUUCGGCGGGAAGAUAAUGACGGUACCCGCAGAAGAAGCCCCGGCUAACUUCGUGCCAGCAGCCGC
rnacentral:rRNA from 1 species